rnacentral:misc_RNA from 1 species
AAGAGAUCAUGCCCUCACGGGUAGACCUCCCACCCUUUGUUUACAAUACCUUUGUUGCUUUGGCGGGCCCGUUUGGCCCCGCGCUGAACAACCGGCCCCGGCUGGUCAGUGCCCGCCAGAGGACCCCAAACUCUGAAUGUUAGUGUCGUCUGAGUACUAUACAAUAGUUA